AUCUCGUAGGAGAUCCAUGUGUAUCUGAGGCCUUCUGAAGUCUGGAGAAUAACAGUCCCCAGCCUUCUCCAAGAAGCACAGGAGAAAAGAGCCCACUGCAGUUGACAGAUGCAAUGAAGUGAAACUCUGUAUGUGUAUGCAUGACUAUGUGCACUUCAUACUCGGAAAACUAAGAUUUGCAGCCUACUUGAUGAAAGACCUUUGGAGUUCAAAUAGCAAAGGAAGCAGGAAACAAUGGGAACUGUAGACUAUUUUUAUCCUUUUGUUGUAUUUAUUUUCAUUUUUAAUCUUUCUUUUUGGUCUUUCUGAUUCAGGAAGAAAUCCUCCUGUCGAUCCUAGUGCGUUUUGUAUAAACCUAAGCUGUCAAACACAAGUACAAUACCAUGCUGAGUGUUGCUGUCUGUAGCUCAUUUCAUUCAUAAUGGUCAUCUGCAAUAUCUUGGUUUCUAAGAACACAAGGUAUUUCACACAGAGUUGUACUUUAGUCUCUGUUCCUUGAAGACAACUCUCAGAGCUCAAAGAAAUCGCAAAGACAACUUUGGUCCUUCAGCUUUAAAAACUUCCUAGUAGGCAUUGUGACUUUGCACAGGCAAAAGUCCAGAGCUGGGGAAUGCAGGGGACAGUCCUAGGGGAAAGGGCAAUGAGAUUUUGUUCCAUCUGAACCACUUCCUGAGAGGAAGAGGUGCCUUGAUGCUUUCUAUUUUCAAGCAGCUUGAAUGGAGAGAUGGAAAAGUCUUUCUUCUUCUCUCCAGUCCUACCUCCUUGUCUGAUUACACGAUGCUUGUUGCAGAAGUAGCAUCAAUGAGUGAAGAACCGGACUCCAAGGGGAGCCAGGUUUGUCUGCUCUGUUUUACUUAAGUUGGAAUUUUUCCUUUGGAAACCGCACGAGGGUGUCAUCCACUGAGGUCACAUUCAAGUAGAAAAGUUCUACUGGUGGACAGGAAGCAUGCUAGGAUUUUCAGCGUGCCCCCUUUUUUACCAAUUCUUUCUCUGUCAGAUCAGAAGAGAUUUAAAACCACAUGAGAGAAAGAAAACAUAACUGGGAGUUAUGAACAAAGAGAUUAUUGCGUAUCAGGUCUGAACCCAUUCCUUGGCUCACAUUUCCUUGUUCUUGUGAGGAAAAUUUAGUCUUGAGGUUUGCCUUCUUUACAUUGAACACAAAGAUUACGUUCAUUCUAUUCGUAUUCCAGGCUCAUAUUUUCUGUCUUUUUUUAUUUAAGGGCCUGUUAUGUUAUUUUACAUCCAGCCCAUCUUACAUUUAGAAGAGGCACGUAUUAAAGGCUGACUUGAUUUGCUCUUUCCCGUGGGGAAUAAUAGGCGUGAUGGUGCUUAGAAAAAUGAAAAUUAAAACAGUUUCCCUUAUAACGAAGGGUUGGGGGGAUGCAAAACAUACAAAUGUCCAUGUUGUAAAUACUCUAAUCUAGAACCAAGGAAGGAAAACUCACUAAUUUUCUUCUUCUGGCUCAGCUUUCCUUUAGACAAUACAAAAAUUGAUCAUGACUGCUGCCUAAAUAGGAGGUUCAAUCAGCGCUGUAGCAAGCUGUGUGCUCUCCCCUCUAUUAAUAUGUAUCAUUUGUGGAAGUUUUGGCUUUUUUCUUUGGAAUAUUCGAAAAAUAAUGGAAAAAAUCCCAAACAAGUCGCUGCUUUAAUUCAUUCCGGCCUGCUGCAUCACUGUAGGUCUCCAGGAGAGAGGAGUUCAGGCAGUUUUACACAGCUCUUUCCCCUCCGCUGCCUGCCUCGGUAAUGUGACAAUAAAAUGGGAUUUUUGGUAUCUCUUUAACACUCUUAAAAGAAAACGCCUUUCAUAACAUAUAUCAUUUUCCAAAGUAAUUUAAAGAGAAUACCUUUCACUUUCAAAUUGCCCUUUGGCAGAUCUGAAACUGCUGUUGUUUUGUGAAAGCUUUUGGCAUUUAAAAAUACUUUGUAUGGAGGAGGAGGAGGAAUGAGGGGAAAAAAAAGCUGGCAACCCUGUCUACUUCACGUUCCUUCUGAUCUGUCCAGAGCUUUUCAAGUGAGCGGGAACACGCAGACAAAU
ensembl:lncRNA